CAACGGCCGUCCGGCGGGGGCGGGGCCUGUCAUGGCGGCCUCGAGAGUCAAUUCCAGGAACCCUGAGGCUCAAGAUGCUUCUAGCAGUGGGAAGCUUAGCUCAGUUUCAUGUUGCUCUGAUAGGAUGAACUGACCCUUUUAUUCACUAUUCCACAUCGAGCUGCAAACCCAUCAGAUGGAACCAUGUGAUCAUUGUGGCCGCCAGCUGACCCCACAGCCACCUUGUGCCUCCCUUGGACCCACCCAGGAAUUUCUGAGCCUUCUUUAUGCUCCCCAACCUCGGAUUGAACUCAGGCCCUCCUCUCAGCAGUGAGAGCACGAAGUCUUAACCACUGGACAGCCGGGGAACUCCUAAAAAAAUAUUGUUUCUUUUUGCUAUAUGACCAGAAGUGGAGUUGCUGGAUCACAUGCAGCAAGAGGAAAAUCAUGCACUACCUCCUUAGAUUCUUAUCACCGGGGUAUGUUUAACAAGCAGAGCUUAGCUGAGGCAGGGAAAGGCUCUUGGAGGAACCAUCACUGCUUCCCUCGUGAUGAGAAGACCUGGCAAAAUUAUGAACCUCAGGUAUGGUUUGAGUGGCACCGACCCUGGGCUGCUGGGAGCCUAGACACCGUCCACAACAUCAUGGGCAAUGACCUGUGAGCUAGGAGUACCACCUGGAUUAGCGAGACUCUAGGGCAAAACAAAUGCUUUCAGGGACACUCCACUGACUCACAGGCUGAGAAUAGAGACGAUCUUCAUUGUAACCAUCUGCAAAAGCUUCUUAUGAAUGUAUUUAUUAGAGGAGGGAAUCGACAAACUACUCCAGGAAAGGGCAGGGCUUCCCUGGUAGCGCAAUGGUUAGGAAGCCGCCUGCCAAUGCAGGAGACACGGGUUCGAGCCCUGGUCCAGGAGGAUCCCACAUGCCGCAGAGCAACCAAGCCCGUGCGCCACAACUACUAAGGCUUGCGCGCCUAGAGCCCAUGCUCCACAACAAGAGAAGCCACCGAAGUGAGAAGCCCAUGCACCGCAAUGAAGAGUAGCCCUGGCUCGCCGCAACUAGAGAAAGCCCGCAUGCAGCAGCGAAAACCCAAC